rnacentral:snoRNA from 12 species
UGGAUGUGAUGAUUGAUUAUCUGAGUAAAACUGAUGAAAAAUCAAGAAAAGUCCUCUAGAUAGUCAAGUUCUGAUCCAG